ACUAAAUAGAUACCCCGGUAGUCCACGCCCUAAACGAUGUCUACUAGUUGUUGGUGGAGUAAAAUCCAUGAGUAAACGCAGCUAAACGCGUGAAGUAGACCGCCUGGGGAGUACGGUCGCAAGAUUAAAACUCGAAGGAAUUGACGGGGGCCCGCACAAGCGGUGGAUUAUGUGGAUUAAUUCGAUGCAACGCGAAAAACCUUACCUGGCCUUGACAUGCCACUAACGAAGCAGAGAUGCAUUAGGUGCCCGUAAGGGAAAGUGGACACAGGUGCUGCACGGCUGUCGUCAGCUCGUGUCGUGAGAUGUUGGGUUAAGUCCCGCAACGAGCGCAACCCUUGCCAUUAAUUGCCAUCAUUUAGUUGGGCACUUUAAUGGGACUGCCGGUGACAAACCGGAGGAAGGUGGGGAUGACGUCAAGUCCUCAUGGCCCUUAUGGCCAGGGCUUCACACGUAAUACAAUGGUCGGUACAGAGAGUUGCCAACCCGCGAGGGGGAGCUAAUCUCAGAAAGCCGAUCGUAGUCCGGAUUGUUCUCUGC
rnacentral:rRNA from 1 species